AGUCCUCGGCUCGUAGACGUUGAACGCGUCGGCGGCGACGUGCCGUUACACAUAGCAAGUACGACGGUAACAGGUCUUCGGAUGCUGACGAGUGGCGAACGGGUGAGUAAUACGAUCGGAACCGUGCCCGAGUACGUGGGGGAUAACGGAGCGAAAGCUUUGCUAAUACGCAUACGAUCUACGGAUGAAAGCAGGGACCGCAAGGCCUUGCGCGGACGGAGCGGCCGAUGGCAGAUUAGGUAGUUGGUGGGAUAAAGCUUACCAAGCCGACGAUCUGUAGCUGGUCUGAGAGGACGACCAGCCACACUGGGACUGAGACACGGCCCAGACUCCUACGGGAGGCAGCAGUGGGGAAUUUUGGACAAUGGGCGAAAGCCUGAUCCAGCCAUGCCACGUGCAGGAUGAAGGCCUUCGGGUUGUAAACUGCUUUUGUACGGAACGAAAAGACUCUUUCUAAUAAAGAGGGUCCAUGACGGUACCGUAAGAAUAAGCACCGGCUAACUACGUG
rnacentral:rRNA from 1 species